CGAACGCUGGCGGCGUGCUUAACACAUGCAAGUCGACCGGAAAGGCCCUGCUUGCAGGGUACUCGAGUGGCGCACGGGUGAGUAACACGUGGGUGAUCUGCCCUGCACUUCGGGAUAAGCCUGGGAAACUGGGUCUAAUACCGGAUAGGAGCCAUUUUUAGUGUGAUGGUUGGAAAGUUUUUUCGGUGUAGGAUGAGCUCGCGGCCUAUCAGCUUGUUGGUGGGGUAAUGGCCUACCAAGGCGGCGACGGGUAGCCGGCCUGAGAGGGUGGACGGCCACAUUGGGACUGAGAUACGGCCCAGACUCCUACGGGAGGCAGCAGUGGGGAAUAUUGCACAAUGGGCGCAAGCCUGAUGCAGCGACGCCGCGUGGGGGAUGACGGCCUUCGGGUUGUAAACUCCUUUCGCUAGGGACGAAGCUUUUUGUGACGGUACCUAGAUAAGAAGCACCGGCUAACUACGUG
rnacentral:rRNA from 1 species